rfam:Schistosoma rodhaini strain Burundi genome assembly, scaffold: SROB_scaffold0006202
AUCCGGCUGACGAGUCCUGAAUAGGACGGAACGCACCUCCUGGAU